AGGGCCCCGUAGCGUGACCUGCGGAGGGAUCAUUACACAAAUAUGAAGGCGGGCUGGAACCUCUCGGGGUUACAGCCUUGCUGAAUUAUUCACCCUUGUCUUUUGCGUACUUCUUGUUUCCUUGGUGGGUUCGCCCACCACUAGGACAAACAUAAACCUUUUGUAAUUGCAAUCAGCGUCAGUAACAAAUUAAUAAUUACAACUUUCAACAACGGAUCUCUUGGUUCUGGCAUCGAUGAAGAACGCAGCGAAAUGCGAUAAGUAGUGUGAAUUGCAGAAUUCAGUGAAUCAUCGAAUCUUUGAACGCACAUUGCGCCCUUUGGUAUUCCAAAGGGCAUGCCUGUUCGAGCGUCAUUUGUACCCUCAAGCUUUGCUUGGUGUUGGGCGUCUUGUCUCUAGCUUUGCUGGAGACUCGCCUUAAAGUAAUUGGCAGCCGGCCUACUGGUUUCGGAGCGCAGCACAAGUCGCACUCUCUAUCAGCAAAGGUCUAGCAUCCAUUAAGCCUUUUUUUCAACUUUUGACCUCGGAUCAGGUAGGGAUACCCGCUGAACUUAA
rnacentral:rRNA from 1 species